ACUCCUACGGGAGGCAGCAGUAGGGAAUCUUCCGCAAUGGACGAAAGUCUGACGGAGCAACGCCGCGUGAGUGAUGAAGGCCUUCGGGUCGUAAAGCUCUGUUGUUAGGGAAGAACAAGUAUCGGAGUAACUGCCGGUACCUUGACGGUACCUAACCAGAAAGCCACGGCUAACUACGUGCCAGCAGCCGCGGUAA
rnacentral:rRNA from 1 species